UUAAAUCCCACGCACACAGAGAGCCGUAGAGACGCACGACGGCUGCCCAGUCGAGACUUCUUCGAGACAAUCGCGCGCGUCUCACGGAUCGCGAAGAAAUCGCAUCGUCGCGUCGUCUAACCUCAAUGACACAAUCGAGCGGAGGCAGUGAACUUCUCUCUGGCGUCGGACUAUUUCAAGCUCUCGAAACGCGGCAGGACAAGAGAGAGAAGAAAACCAGUUCACCGCGCGCGUAGAGCUACGUGACUUACGUAAAAUAUAAUACGCUUCCGAGGAAAGACGCGUCGCAACACACGUAAAUACGUAAGGGUACAUACAUACACGUAUACAUAGAUGUAGACGUACACGUACGUCACCACUUGGAUCAUUACUCGCAAAGGACAAAAUUCAUCGACUUACGUCAACUGCAAGCUCCGCUCUCAAUCGAUACACCACGAUGUCUCUCUCACACUCUGUUCGUCUGCGUUGCUCUUUCACAGCCGUUCGCUUCGUCCCUUUGUUCCUAUCGUCCCGGUAGAUUCUCACCACUACGUCGUUUAAGUUGGACCGUUCCUUUCUUUCACGCGGUUGAAUUCGAGUCAUAAACUGGGUCGUUAUGUUCACGGUGGCACACGCGUGUUUUCGUCGUUCCUCGAGCUUUUUCUCGAGUUUUCUAGGGAAGAGGAAUAAAU
rnacentral:misc_RNA from 1 species